rnacentral:rRNA from 1 species
AUUGAACGCUGGCGGCAUGCCUUACACAUGCAAGUCGAGCGGUAACGGGCCUUCGGGUGCCGACGAGUGGCGAACGGGUGAGUAAUGUAUCGGAACGUACCUUUCAGUGGGGGAUAACGUAGCGAAAGUUACGCUAAUACCGCAUAUUCUGUGCGCAGGAAAGCAGGGGAUCGCAAGACCUUGCGCUGAUUGAGCGGCCGAUGUCAGAUUAGCUAGUUGGUGAGGUAAAGGCUCACCAAGGCGACGAUCUGUAGCGGGUCUGAGAGGAUGAUCCGCCACACUGGAACCGAGACACGGUCCAGACUCCUACGGGAGGCAGCAGUGGGGAAUUUUGGACAAUGGGGGCAACCCUGACUCAGCCAUGCCGCGUGAGUGAAGAAGGCCUUCGGGUUGUAAAGCUCUUUCGGCCGGGAAGAAAUCGCAUGGGUUAAUACCCUGUGCGGAUGACGGUACCGGCAUAAGAAGCACCGGCUAACUACGUGCCAGCAGCCGCCGUAACAC